AGAAAACAUGAAGAUAUCAUCGAUGAUCAUCACCGCCCACUCCCAAAGUCAGGCACUACAUACUUGAAGUCUUCCUCAUCCAUUACCAGAGGAAGGGUGAGAUCACCAUGCCGGUUUCCAUCCACAUCUUAGUUAUAUUCAGCAAUGUUAUAGCUCUGAGGAGCAAGAAACAAUUUAUAUUACAGUCUUUGCUUUUGCUUUUGGUUUUGGAUAUCGUUUGAUGUUUAGUGUUCAAAACUCUUCUGGUUAAUCUCGUUGUUUUAGAUCGUUUGUUUUGGAUAUGUUGAAUCUUGAUUCACGUACUCAAUCUAUUUGAAGUUUUUUGUUGGAUUUAAGUUGAUCUCGUUUUUGGUUAAUGUUUGGAUGCUUUUAGUAGUUGGUUUAUACUUGUUUAAGUCAGAUCUAUAGUUGUCGAAGUGAUUUGCAUGUGUUGAUGAGUUUAAUCUCCAAGAAAUGUUUAGUUUGUUGUUCAAUUCUAUCGUUCAUUCAUGUUGGUAAUUUCAAUUAGGUUUUAAGGUUUACUUGCUUUAACUCUCAUGUUCUCGUCUAAGAUCUGCAGUUUAGUUUUUCGAUUUUAAGUUGUCAAUGGAGGUUUAGAUUUUCUGUUAGUAGUAUUGUGGAGGAGGAGAUGUCAGAAAAUCAUGUUGAAAUCAAAAUCUGGGUUUCUCUAUGAUUUUGUACCUACAUGUAGUCUCAGCUUUUCAACACCAUGUCGGUUAGUUAGGGUUGUGGUCCCGUGUCACCUUUUCAUUGUCUAGUCUAAUUUAGGAAAGUUAUGUUCAUUACCUGAAACUUAGGUGCACGCAAGUAAACUUGUCAAGUGGGUCAGGCGGACCCAGCCCAGGCCCGCUACAGCUCGACCCAAGCCCAACCCACUAGUGAAAUAGAGCUGGCUUGGCCUGGGCUUGGGAGUUAAGGAUGGCUCCAAUUGGGCCUUUUUUAUAAACCCAGGCCCAUUUGAAGCCCGACCCAGGCUCGGAACUAGCCCAGGCCCAGCCCAGUAGAGACCUACUUUAUUUUUGAUGAUUUUAUAUAUGAAUUGCCUUUGUGUAUUUGUGUUGUAAUGAAUUCUAUGUCACAAAAUGGGUAUACUUGAUGAAUAAAAAUUAAAAUAAUAGUAUUCCUUUAUACCAUAGACUUGUUGUGGGAACUCGAUUUUAGUGUAUACACAUAUGUAAAUCGUUUCUGUGUAAUAUUUUAUGCUAAGACUUUUGCUUUCAGUUAUCUUUGUAAAAUAUUUUAAGAUUCAAACCCAUUCAGCUUAAUGUAAAUAUAAAGUUAAGAAAUGGGAAUAACAAUUCUUUUAAUAAAUAGAAAAAAAUCUUCUAAUAAUUUGCAGAAUAUACAAUUUAAAAUUGUUAGUAGAUUUCAAUUCCUGAUUUAGUGGAAUAUAUAUACUUAAAUUACCAUUCUGAUCAAUUCUAUGCUUAAAUUAUCAUAAAACUAAUAAAAAUUAUACUAAUAAAUAUUCUAACUAUAAAAAAUUAUUUCAAUUUAAGAAUGGCUACGAGAUUCAUUGUAUUGUUAAAACAAGUUAGGGCUUGAUUGAUUGCAUAGAAAAUCCAGAUUCAAUUCUUGAGCCUUUCUAGACCAAAUUGCCCCCAAUUCUAAUUCUUGUGUUCUAAUUCUAAUUCUAAUUUUAAUUCUAAUUAUAAUUAUAAUUCUCAUUCUAAUCCUAAUCCUCUCACCCGAAAUUCAAUUGGGAGCUGCAUAACUUGUGUUUGUUAUGUUUCGGUCAAAAGACGAGUCGAUGUAGAAGGCUGCACACACAUCACUCUCUUUUGUCGUCGCUGUAAUUUUUUUCCUCAUUUGCAAUGCAACCCAUCGGAUCUAGUCUUGGUUGAAGGAGGGAGACAUUGCGAUUGCCAUGGAAGAUCAAAUCACCCAAAAUAAGGUUGCACGCAGGCGUAAAGAACUAUCGAACUUCAUGCUAGUGCUUGACAAGAUAAUUAGGAUCCAUCAAUUCAACAUGUUAGUUGUUCGGAUGUUACUCUUCAUUUUGAUAUCCAAGAAGAGCAAACAAACCAAAAGGUUUUGGAGGAAUAGGUUUUCAUUGCUUGAGUGCAUUCCUGCCAAUGUUUGCCACAUCAACUGAUUAGUUGAUCUAACUGAUCGGUCGUGCUUAGAUAAUCUACGCAUGGAUAGGAACACAUUCGGUCGACUAUUCCAUUUAUUGAAGGACCGCAACGAUCUUGUGGAUAAAAAGUUUGUCACCAUUGAGGAGCAAGUAGCGAUGUUCUUAGCUGUAUUGUCUCACCAUCAGAAAACUCGGGUGGCUGGUUUCAACUUCACUCGGUCACCGCAGACCGUUUCUCGCUACAUGCACAUUGUUUUAUAUGUUGUACUAAAGCUCCAUGACGUUUUGUUGGUGAAACCUGAACCCAUUGAUGAAAAUUGCACCGACGUAAGGUGGAAGCGGUUUAAGGGCGGUCUUGGAGCAUAGGACAGAACAUACAUCAACACACUAGCUGUAUGCGACCACCGUCUAAGAUUUGUCUAUGUCUUUCGUGGUUGGGAGGGAUCUGCAGGGGACUCGAGAAUAUUAAGAGACUCACUUAGUAGACCACAUGGUCUCAAAGUACCAAAAGGUCAAUACUAUUUAUGCGACAAUGGGUACGCGAAUAGUGACGGCUUUAUCACGCCAUACAAAGAAGUGAGAUACCAUUUGAAAGAAUGGGGUCCCAUUUGUGAAGCCCCUCAGACACCCGCAGAAUUGUUCAACAUGCGCCAUACAAAAGCGAGGAACAUCAUUGAGCGAGCCUUUGCUAUGAUGAAAUUGUGUUGGGGAAUUCUACGCAGUGCAAGCUUUUAUCCGAUAGAUGUGCAAACAAGCCUUAUCAUUGCUUGCUUUUUUGCUCCACAAUUUCAUACAUGGGCAAAUGGAGGUGGAUCCUCUUGAGGUGCAGAUUGAUAGUCAAGCAGAUGAUGGGAGUCAAUCUGAUGCUGAUGAUGAUGGAGUGGCUUUCAUACAGAGCAUCGAACCUACCACCGCAUGGUCUAAGAAGAGAGACGACUUAGCAGCUGAAAAGGCAGCUGAAAUGUACCUUGAUUUCAAUAUGUAGUUUGUUGAUAACAUUGUACUUGUUUGGAGCUUGUAUUUUUUUCCUUCAAAUUUCUCGCACACUUAUGAUGCUAAUUUAAACUUGGUAUGCAUUAUUGAGUUAUUGUUUAUAUGGCAGAUUAUGCUUCAUUAA